GUGCUUGCUUUGGCAGCACUUAUACUAAAAAUGGAAUGAUACAGAGAAAAUUAGCACAGUCCCUGGGUAAGGAUGGCAUGCAAAUUUGUGAGGUGUUCUAUAUUUUC
ensembl:snRNA U6 U6 spliceosomal RNA